ACUGCUACUGAGUGUGAGAGUGAGUCACUGAGGCUGCUACUGUAGGUGGAGAGUGAGUCAGUGAGACUGCUACUGAGGUGGAGAGUGAGUCAGUGAGACUGCUACUGAGGUGGAGAGUGAGUCAGUGAGACUGCUACUGAGGUGGACAUUGGAACCUGUUGCCAGAAACAUCGUGAAUACUUGUGUCUAUCGUAAAUCUAAAAUGUCAUAAUUUGUGCAUGACACUUUACUAUAAACGAUCUGACAUUUUAGACGUAUUUAUAGACAUAAAAACUGACUAAUGUGUGUGAAAACAGGUCUCAGGUUACUAGCUGGUACUGAGGGAGGUGGACUGUGGUAAUUAACUGUGAUUUAAGAGAGUCUGACACUAAUUGUGUUGAUUACACCGAUGUCAGACUGCUGUGGAGAUGCAGACCAUGUUUAAUUACUGUGAUUAAAAACAGUCAGACACUAGUCAUGGCAAGAACUAAUAGAAAGUAGGAAAAUGAAAAAGGUAAACGUAUUCACUGAGUGUAUAAGAUAUCAGACUGCUAAAUUAAGGGGGAUGUCUUACGCUAGUAAAGGAUUGCUACAGGAGAGACAGUUGAUAUACUGGUCAUUGGUUUUGUAUCAAGGAAGGAAUCGUUGCUGAUUGUAAUAACAACGUAGCGAUCUGCUGAUGCUACAUCCCCACAGCUAGAAAUUCUAGGAUAAGAAUUGCGAAUCUGAAUGAUUGUAUUUGAUAUGAUCUCACUGUUAAUCUGUGCCAAAGGGUAUAAUUAGUAUUAAGCAAAGUGCAGCCAGUUUGCCUGAUUUGCUGAAAUUAUUAUAGCAAUAAUGUACUGAAUUCUGAAACUUUCUGCUAUUAAAUAAAGCCUUGAGUUUUUAUGAAAUGAGA